rnacentral:lncRNA from 1 species
GUGUUUGGAUGUGUUUCGAGCUUUUCCACACUUGGUGGAGGGUCGUAGAAUAUUUUUCGACCUAAAAAGUUCGAAAACCUGAGUUUUGGUUUGGUCCUGAGAGUUUUCACUCUCGGGGACCGGUCCUGUAAGGUACCGGACUUCUAAAGGUAUGAAGUUACGGUGUACGUUUAAAUGGUUCCGGUGAGGUUGCGGUGUAAUGUAAUAUACCGGAUUUAAAUAUAAAAAUAGAAAUAAAUAAAAAUAGUAUGAGAUACUAUUUUUAUUGGAUUUAGAGAAGUGAAAUAUGAGUUAGAAACGACCUGUGCUGAAAUCGGAAUUAAAACAGAAGAUUUAGAAUUUUCUGUUGGAAAUGGGACAGAUAAAUUAGCAGAAAAUGCACAGUCUCAGAAAAUUAUGAAAAUUGGCAGAGAUGUCAGAAAUAUUUUUAUGAGGCUAUAUUUAAAGUUUCAUAUUUUUCUGACACCCAUAGAGUGGGAAAUGAAAUCCGAAGGCUAUCUGAUAAAGAUUGCAGUUCGGUACAGUUUUCGGUGACCAAACGGGGUCGAAACUGAAAACUUUAGAUAUAUUCUUGUUCAGUACGUUAAACCGAACAUGACUGUCAAAUUUGAGCUCAAACGGACAUUCAGAAGGGCUCCAACGAAACUUAUCAGAUUUAGGGACUAAAUUGGAAGGUUGAAUAGUUGAGGGGCUAACUUGCAAAAUGGGAUUAAAUCCCUUUUCUCCUCCUUCCUCCUCAGCCGAAUGCAACACACACACACACGCAUCACGCACACACACGCAUACAUGGAAUGGGAGAGACAAAACCUCCCUUUUCUCUCUCUAAUUCUCUCCCAAAAUUGAUGAAAUUGGUGGAGAAGCAAGCUUGGAAAUGGAUCUUCAUCUCCUUCAUGUUCUUCCUCUCCAUUGGAGCUUGCUUGAGAGGUAAGCUUCAAACCCCUUUAAUGGUAGAUCCUUAAUGGUUGGUCUAAAUACCUUACAAAUGGAUUUAGAGGAAUCCUAGCACGCUAACUAGAUGAAUGAUGCUUGAUUCACGAAGAAAUUUGGUGGAUUUUUAUCUAGUUGUAAACCUAGGGUUCAAAAUGCUAAUUUUUAAAAUAUGAGGGUUUGAUCUAAUUUGACCCUCCGUAAACCUAAUUGCUAGGUAACNNNNNNNNNNNNNNNNNNNNNNNNNUUUUGGGGUGUUACAGGUUCGCACGUGAGCGGCGCGGCGGCGCGAGGAAAGGGCGUAGCUCAGUAGAUAGCGCCCUACCACAGAGACCAGAGUUAGCGGUACCCCGAGUCGACAUAUCCUAGGGGUAUAGAGAUGAAAGAUCAAUGUAUCAAAUUGUAAUGAAUAAUUGAUGUAGCAAUUCAUAUUCAGAUGUACUAUGCUUGUGAAUAAUGAUGUAGUAGCUUAGAUUGCAUUUGGUUUGAAGUAAAUUGUAAUUAAGAGGUAAGGUAUGAAUGAAUGAAUGUAAUAACUUAGGAUGUGUUUAUGUUGUUUGAUACCUUCCUUAUGCAAUCGUUGUAUGUUGAAUACUGUUCCUGUUUGGAACCUGUUGUAAUUGUAUUGAUUGCGAUGCCUUGAACGUACAGGGGAGACUCUGUCCGCAGUGCAGGGAAAACUCUGUCCGUUCGGCGCUGUCGGCGCCGCGACCCCGACCAAAUAGGCGGGUGGUCGCGGGCUGUGAUAGGUCCCUGGAAGGAGAGACCGGUCCCCCAAUGAGCAGUGUUGCGGCAGCCCUGAGGCAACCGGUCCCUGGCGGGUGACACCGGUCCCGAGCGCGUUUUCGCAAUGAGAGACCGGUCCUGCGUAGGGAGAGACCGGUUCCCGAACGCUGGUUUUUCGGGUUCGCAGCGAGAGACCGGUCCCUACUGGGGAGAGACCGGUCCCUCUGGGCGAAAACUGCCCAGACCGAGCUGUUGUGAUAUUGGAUUUUUGAGGGGCCUCUUGGGAUUUUGUUACAAUAGAGNGUGAUUGUCCUAGUUGAGGGGAUUUAAGGCCGAGGUGCAAGUGAGACGUCCUUCGCCUCGUGCCUGGCUCUGUGCGGUACUCCGCAGAUGAUUGACUCAAGACCGAGUCGAGCGGCUAGCUUUGUAAAGGUAGAUGACACCUUAUGAUUAAAAUUGUAAAUGACAGAAAACCUUAAAUGUCAAUUGGAUGAAAGUAGUAAUCGAUUGAAUUACUAGUUGGUUGUAUAGUUGCAUUAUUGCAUGAUCUUCAUAUUGCAUAUCGCGAGGCAAUGCAUGGUAUUGUUAGUUGCAUGAUCUUAUUAUCAUAUCUAUCUGUUUAUUGAACUAACCUGCAGCUUGCCUCCUUCGGACAUGUCGGUCGAGCUUUUUCCUUGGGUGGCCGUACCCACUGGGAACUAUGGAGUUAGUUCUCACCCCACGUUGCUUUUGGGGUAUUACAGGUUCACACAUGAGCGGCGCGGCGGCGCGAGGCGAGGGCGUAGCUCCGUAGAUAGCGCCCUACCACCGUGACCAGAGAUAGCGGUACCCAAGUCAGCCAAGCUAGGGGUUGUAGAAAAGAAAAUCAAAAGGAUCAAACUUGUAAUAAUCUUGUGAUGCUUGAUUGUAUUCGGAAGUUUAAAUGUAUUUGAAAGGAAAAGGAAAUGUAAAUAAUAUCAAGUGAAUGAAUGAAUGAAUGUAAUAACUUAGGAUGUGUUUAUGUUGUUUGAUACCUUCCUUAUGCAAUCGUUGCAUGUUGAAUACUGUUCCUGUUUGGAACCUGUUGUAAUUGUAUUGAUUGCGAUGCCUUGAACGUACAGGGGAGACUCUGUCCGCGGUACAGGGGAAUCCCCGGUCCGUUCGGCGCUGUCGGCGCCGCGACCUCGACCAAAUAGGCGGGGCUCGCGGGCUGUGACAGGAAGUGGUAUCAGAGCAUAAUGUAGAAAAUGGGAAAAUGGUUUAGGCAGACCUAGGAGACCCUAGGAUAGUAAACCAUAGGAGAAUAAGGCUCGUGAGAGACGAGGACUUAUGGGUUAUGGCGAAAGAUUAGUCGAUUGGGUCAGUGUUGAAGCCUCUAUAACGGAUAUUAGAGGUAGACUCGAGGUGUGGUUUAUUCUCAACCGACGGUGUUCAUGUUGGGUCGACACAACAUGAAACCGAGUGUUGAGAAUAGAUACCCUUGUGUGACUUUCGCCCGAUUUGAGUCGGUGUCAGUUGUUUCGCGUUUGACCUUGAGGGUCGAGAAUCGAUCGAGCUGUCGCGUCUUGGGAAGCGAUGGCACCGCGUAGGCGAUCUUUAUGUAGAUCGGCACGAGAUGGGACGAGUGUCAUUCCUACGCAAUCCGAAACGAACGGAGACUUGGGACUUCGUGAGCGAUUGUCCACUCUCGUGUGAGUGGCGGGGUGAUGAGCCGAAUCAAUGCGGCGUCAGCAGGAAGCUGCCGUAUGCCAGGAGGAGCGAAUGAGAAGACUCCAGGAAACGAUAAAUCAGCUGGGGGUUAUACCAGCUGCCGUUCGUCGAGUACGACCGGGAGUUGCGAUGGAAGUAUUUCCGUCGGGUUCGAGCAAUCCGACUUCUAGCACUUCAGAAGCGAAGGCGGGGAAGGACCGAGCUUCGGCGGCCCUCAUGACCUUUAAACGAUUUGAUCCGUCUGCCUUUGGUGGAGAGAAUACGGAUCCGUUUGUCGUGGAGUUGUGGAUCGACUUCAUGGAGACUCCCUUUGGGGAUCUGUGCACUGUAGAGUGAGAGGAUACACCUAGCUGUGCGUUGCUUGCAAACAAUCGGCGAAGGUGUGGUGGAAAGGCAUUCGACAGAAUCGAUUGCCUAGUUUUCCUCCUAUGAUUCGGGAUGAGUUUCGGGGAUCAAUAUUCCCUGUUUACUUCCCCGAUGCUGAGAAAGAAAAGCAUCAGGAAAGGUUCCCGAAGCUACGGCAGGUAGACCGUGUCGUGAGGGAAUACGAGCAGGAAUUCCCUCGUAUCGUGAGUUGUGUCCCGAACGUAGUGCGGGAUGACGAGGAAUUGGCCGAUGUGCCUUUACGGAGACCUUUGCCGGACGUGGUCGAGGUUGUGCGUAUAAGGAAGUGAAUUCUCGAAAUACGAGGAUUGGACUUCGUGUAGAAUCGAACAAGGGUCGUGUUGGUGUGCUUCGGAAAAGCCGAAGAUGUUUAAAUCACCAAAAGUGCGUUGGAAUUGGAGUCCACGAGAGCAAAUAGUGCAAAGUCUGCACUUGGCGGAGAUUGCUCUCGGGAACCGGUCCCUGGCAGGGAGAGACCGGUCCCCGUAGCUUGAAAUUGCUCAGUUUUGGGCAGUGCACAUUCUUGAGUUGUGGUUGCAAUCCCAACCUCGGAAGUGUCAUCUACUUAACUUUUCGGGAUGUGGGAUUGUAGAAGUUCUCACCAGGCACAGCGGUGUGCGCUGUGUGAUGAAAGGUGAUUCGUUGUGGAUGGCCAAACCUUAGCAUUGGCGAAAGCUUUUUCCUCUCCGACACAGCCUGCAGGUGUGUCACCUACAGCAUGGUCUGGAGAGUGAGUGGCGAGAAGGUGACCACCGAAGGGUUCGCAGCGGGCGCCAAGAGGCCGUGGAUAUGCGAACCGGGUUGUGAAACCUGCUGCUAUCGACGAUACCAUGGCAGGUAUGAGUUAAUUGAAGCAAGCAUAGGCUUCUGUAGGAUGUGAAGUUGGUGCAUGCAUGCAUAUGCCAUGUGGUCAUUUACUACCAUCGAUAUGUCAAUGUAGUAGGGACCAAAGGGACGGGUAAGCGUAGAUACCCGGGCAUGCUUGCAUUGUGGGAGCGUAUUAUCUGUUUGAGCGGGUAGAGAGCUGGAUAGCACUAGCAGAUGCUGGUGAUGAUUGUGGGACGAGAAGUGAGACUCGUGAUAAAGACAAAACGGUGAAGCGACUCUCAAGACAACGGGUAGUUGAUUGUGAGAAUUGCGCCGUGACCUUGAGGAUACCCAGGUAGUCCGAGUAUUCGGAUGUAGAUCCGGUAGGUUGAACAGUGGAAAGUAGAAUCACUGUCGAGAGAAUAGCCGGUUAGUUGCCAAGUACGGGCACAUAGGCCUAGUAGUACCUCAGUUUGAGGUUGGAACUUGCGCUUGUUUGGUCGGUGUGUAUAGGCAAGAUUGCCUAUUACUAGACGUAGUGUGGAACGUUAUAGAGACGU